UAGCUCACUAGUCGAGUGACACUGCGCCGAAAAUGUACCGGGGCUAAACAUAUUACCGAAGCUGUGGAUUGUCCUUUGGACAAUGGUAGGAGAGCGUUCUAAGGGCGUUGAAGCAUGAUCGUAAGGACAUGUGGAGCGCUUAGAAGUGAGAAUGCCGGUGUGAGUAGCGAAAGACGGGUGAGAAUCCCGUCCACCGAUUGACUAAGGUUUCCAGAGGAAGGCUCGUCCGCUCUGGGUUAGUCGGGUCCUAAGCUGAGGCCGACAGGCGUAGGCGAUGGAUAACAGGUUGAUAUUCCUGUACCACCUAUAAUCGUUUUAAUCGAUGGGGGGACGCAGUAGGAUAGGCGAAGCGUGCGAUUGGAUUGCACGUCUAAGCAGUAAGGCUGAGUAUUAGGCAAAUCCGGUACUCGUUAAGGCUGAGC
rnacentral:rRNA from 1 species